AUGUCAAACAGCUACGAAUGUAGUAUCAACGAGAACUUGGAAUAUUAUCUCAAGGAAAACAAACUGGAAAAAUAUAAAUCUCACAGUACCAACACCUUGUGUAGUACUCUUGGAUUCGGUUUGCAUUCAGCUGAAUUGCUGCUGCCUCAAAGAAAAUUAAGAUGGACUGAACAACUUAACUCAAAAUUUUGUUGUUUUGAAAACUUGGAAACUGUGGAACAUGAAUAGGAGGCUGUUUCUUGUAAUUUCUUGUGGCUGUGGCUUGUGGCUCUUCUACGUUCAGUGUCAGUGUGGCUGGGGAUUGACUGGCUGAACUGAGGCACAUGUGGAGGAACCAAACAAACAGAAUAUGAUCUUCCUUAUUCCUUUAGUUGGAUUAAUCUGUGUUUUGUUGGAAAGCAUUUGGUAAAUGGAAAGACUUCAGGUGUGAGUGGCCA
rnacentral:lncRNA from 1 species